rnacentral:rRNA from 1 species
AUUGAACGCUGGCGGCAGGCCUAACACAUGCAAGUCGAACGAGUGGCGGACGGGUGAGUAAUGUCUGGGAAACUGCCUGAUGGAGGGGGAUAACUACUGGAAACGGUAGCUAAUACUGCAUACCAUCAGAUGUGCCCAGAUGGGAUUAGCUAGCUGGUGGGGUAACGGCUGACCAAGGCGAAGAUCCCUAGCUGGUCUGAGAGGAUGAACAGCUACACUGGAACUGCAAGACGGUCCAGACUCCUACGGAAGGCAGCAGUGGGGAAGAUUGCACAAGGGGCGCAAGCCGGAUGCAGCCAUGCCGCGUGUAUGAAGAAGGCCUUCGGGUUGUAAAGUACUUUCAGCGGGGAGGAGUUACCCGCAGAAGAAGCACCGGCUAACUCCGUGCCAGCCGCCGCGGUAAUUC